UUACGGCCAUAUCACAUUGAAACGUUGGUUCCUGUACGAUCAUCGAACUUAAGCAACGUCGAGCCUGGUUAGUACCUAGAUGGGUGACUAACUUGAGAAUACCAGGUGCUGUAA